rnacentral:misc_RNA from 1 species
AACGCAUAUUGCGCCCUCUGGUAUUCCGGGGGGCAUGCCUGUUCGAGCGUCAUUAUCACCCCUCAAGCCCGGCUUGUUGUUGGACGUCGGCGGCGGCCUUUAGUGGCGUACCGCCCGUCUCAAAGAUAAUGACGGCGUCUGUGAGGACACCUGUACACUGAGCUUUCGGGCACGUACUAGGCUUGACACUCGCAGACCCGGUCUACAGGGUUCGCUUCGGCGGCCCAACUUUUUUACCAAGGUUGACCUCGGAUCAGGUAGGAAUACCCGCUGAACUUAA